GCGCAAAAAAAAAAAAAAAAAAAAAAAAAAAAAAAAAAAAAA
rnacentral:ribozyme from 13 species